rnacentral:lncRNA from 1 species
CCCUAGUGAAUGUCCUUUAACUGCCAUCUGAGAGGUUGGCAGGCUGCACAUAUGGUGCUUUCCUUCUUUUGAAAUACUAGAUUUGGAGUCCAUGUGGGUUUCCUGGUUUUGCAUCUUCAGCAUUGUUCGUUUCGAGCAUUUGUGGGCAGAUCCCAAGGCUGGUGGGCGCUGUCACAAGGUUGUCUUGGCUAUUUCGCUGGACCAUCCCUGUAAGGCUGCUCUGCCCUGCUCCUCUCUGCCUCCAGCAGUGCUAUUAAAGGAAGGAGGGAGCUGUGAAUUCCUGCAGUCUCUGAGGCCAGUAUCCAGACAGUAUGGGUUAUGCUUCAAGCCAGACUUGGACCUAGGAUGGAGGAUAAGGUGAUUCUCAGCAUGAGUGAGGCUGGUGGAACUGGGCUUAUAAAAAUAUCUGAGCGGGGGAAGAAAAUAACUACUGUUUUCCAAGAAGAUGCAUUUUUCUAUUUUAAUUUUUGUAAGGCUGUGAUAAAAUAAAUGUUGUCUAUGAUGUAAAGCUGAAGGGUUG